UGUGUAUUCAGAUUUGUGUACUUUCUUUUGUAGGUCUACCUUGGACCAAGUACUGGUGGUGCGGCUCUCAUGCAGUGUAGAUUCUGUAAGUUCACGAGCCACAGUUGUAAUUUGCUGCUGAAACACUACAGACUCAGACACUGGCAACCAGGGCGACGUUUACGAUUAUUGUGCUUAUAUCCAGAGUGUGUUUGCACAUUUAAGACCCCUGGUGCUUUGAAAACUCAUCUCCACAGAGCUCAUUCAAAUGCAAGCAAAAGGAGAGAGCAAGCCACUUUUCAUUGUGAACUGUGCGAUUACAGGAAUCUUUGCACUGAAGACACAUUCAUCAGGCAUUUGAAAAAGAACAUGGACAUGACUGUGAUCAAUGCAAAAAUGGAAAAUACAUUCUCACUCAGGAGAAAAUAAAUAAUCAAUGAGCAGCCUCUUGUCUCUGUUGUAAAAGAAAGGUGGCCCUGCCUUUUUUUGGAAGAGCAAAUUUUUGCUGAAUUCCAAAGGAUCACCUGUAUGGACCUCAAAACUGCUUUCAUGACCUCUCUUGAUAAGCAUACCAACACACUAAUCAAAAUGUACCAUGCAAAGAGCAGAGACUUUGGAGAUGAGAUGAGAAUUCUCCUAGACAAACUUGUUGACCAGACAACAGACAUACUAUCCCAUAGGAGGGCUACAGCUCUAAGGGGACUGCCAGUGUAUCUAAGGGAGCAUGAGCCAGUAUCAAAGAUCUGCCUGGCUACUGUUCCAGAGGAGUCUUGCACAAGAGGAGAAAAAAUGAUCAUUGUUGAAGUGAUGGAGAAUGACCUUGCUCGGUCAACACCACAGACACCUGUAAACCUGGUCACUGUCAUUGAGGAAACAGUGGUAAUGGAAAACCUUUAUGACUUCAUCACAGCCUUCAUGAUUCUUUUUGGGCUGUUGUAUGCACUGAACAUAGAAUAUCCAAAGGGACUAAAAUACACAUUUGAGGCAGUGCAGAACAUCUUUGUUGGACUAGGAGACAGGUGCACCAAUAGAGUUCAGUGCCUAAAGAAUAAACUCUUCAAGCUGUAGACAGCCAAAGUAUUGCUUUCAGGUGGUGGGUGUUUUACCCUCGUUUAUCAUUGUAAAGUCCCUUCAAGAAUUAAGAAAAGUUUUGGAGAACUUUUGUUGUGUUUCUGUGUUGGUUACUUUGGAACUGCUAAUUUUGGUUUCUUUUUAUGGUGGGAUUGGUGUUAGGUUUAUGUAUCCUUAAUGCAUCAGCUGAGGCUGUGAGAUUAAUAAAACAAAUCUUGUUUCUUCUAAA